GGCGAACGCUGGCGGCGUGCUUAACACAUGCAAGUCGAACGGAAAGGCCCUGCUUUUGUGGGGUGCGCGAGUGGCGAACGGGUGAGUAACACGUGAGUAACCUGCCCUUGACUUUGGGAUAACUUCAGGAAACUGGGGCUAAUACCGGAUAGGAGCUCCUGCUGCAUGGUGGGGGUUGGAAAGUUUCGGCGGUUGGGGAUGGACUCGCGGCUUAUCAGCUUGUUGGUGGGGUAGUGGCUUACCAAGGCUUUGACGGGUAGCCGGCCUGGGAGGGUGACCGGCCACAUUGGGACUGAGGUACGGCGCAGACUCCUACGGGAGGCAGCAGUGGGGAAUAUUGCACAAUGGGACGAAGCCUGAUGCAGCAACGCCGCGUGCGGGAUGACGGCCUUCGGGUUGUAAAACGCUUUCGCCUGUGACGCAGCGUGAGUGACGGUAAUGGGUAAAGAAGCACCGGCUAACUACGUG
rnacentral:rRNA from 1 species